UUGAGAAUGAAUUGAGGAAAUAUUGUGAUUGUGUGGCGAUAAGGUCAAAGUGGACUGAAGGGUGGCAGAUGAUGGCAGAGACCUUCAAAUCGAAAGGAGACAACUUUCAAUUCCACUCGAUGUCCGCCACUGAACUCAUUAAAACACUUCAUAAAUGUUACAUGUGUGUCCCCUUAUCAAUGCCAAGUGAAGUUUUGCUCUCCAAUCUCGGCCCACACGUCCCAACAACAAUUCGAACACUUUUCGCACAUAAAUCAAGUUGACCUUAAAGGCAAAAACAAAAAAAAAAAACAAAAAAUCUUUGUCAUAACAUGGCCAACAAACCCAAAAAAGCAACAACAACCAGAGCCACACGGACACGCCAAAGGAAAGGCGAAGUGUCUCCAGGAGAGGAGGCUGUCAAGGCUACGUGACAAACAACAAGGCAACAUAACAAAGUGCUAAAAGAUGGGUUGCCGGGGGCCGGGACCGGGGUGGGGG
rnacentral:sRNA from 1 species